rnacentral:rRNA from 1 species
CCUACGGGUGGCAGCAGUGAGGAAUAUUGGUCAAUGGGCGAGAGCCUGAACCAGCCAAGUCGCGUGAGGGAGUACUGCCCUAUGGGUUGUAAACCUCUUUUGUCGGGGCGCAAAAGCCGGACGUGUCCGGCUGUGAGAGUACCCUAAGAAAAAGCAUCGGCUAACUCCGUGCCAGCAGCCGCGGUAAUACGGAGGAUGCGAGGGUUAUCCGGAUUUAUUGGGUUUAAGGGGUGCGCAGGCGGAUUUUUAAGUCAGCGGUAAAAUCGUGGGGCUCAACCCCAUCCAGCCGUUGACACUGGGGAUCUAGAGUGUGCGAGAGGUAGGCGGAAUGCGUGGUGUAGCGGUGAAAUGCAUAGAUAUCACGCAGAACCCCGAUUGCGAAGGCAGCAUACCGGUGCACAACUGACGCUCAGGCACGAAAGCGUGGGUAUCGAACAGGAUUAGAUACCCGGGUAGUC